UUGUGGGAGAAAGUCAUGGAAUUAGUUCUCACUCGCAAGUUGUGAGUUUCAAGAUUGAAGGAAGCAAUAAAAAUCAUUUGAACGAGCUAAUGUGGUUGGACGCCACCAGUUAAGGAUCCAAAAACAGGAGCUCUGCCAACCAUCCGACCCACCGACCGGGAUUAAGCAACCAAGAAGACCUUUUUCUUCUGGGCUGGACAAAAUGGACCCUUCGAGGUUAGUGUUGGAGGAAUUUUAGUACAACAUAUGGUCAAUAGUUUCAAUCUCGUGGAAGUAAUAAGACUCUUUGGGGUACUUUUAUGAAUUGUUAAAAAAACUAGUCGAGUAAUAAACCUGAUUGCUGCCAACUUGAA